GGAAGUAAAAGUCGUAACAAGGUUUCCGUAGGUGAACCUGCGGAAGGAUCAUUAUCUAUUCCAUGAGGUGCGGUCGCGGCCCUCGGCGGGAGCAACAGCUACCGUCGGGCGGUAGAGGUAACACUUUCACGCGCCGCAUGUCUGAAUCCUUUUUUUACGAGCACCUUUCGUUCUCCUUCGGCGGGGCAACCUGCCGUUGGAACCUAUCAAAAACUUUUUUUGCAUCUAGCAUUACCUGUUCUGAUACAAACAAUCGUUACAACUUUCAACAAUGGAUCUCUUGGCUCUGGCAUCGAUGAAGAACGCAGCGAAAUGCGAUAAGUAGUGUGAAUUGCAGAAUUCAGUGAAUCAUCGAAUCUUUGAACGCACAUUGCGCCCCUUGGUAUUCCAUGGGGCAUGCCUGUUCGAGCGUCAUCUACACCCUCAAGCUCUGCUUGGUGUUGGGCGUCUGUCCCGCCUCUGCGCGCGGACUCGCCCCAAAUUCAUUGGCAGCGGUCCUUGCCUCCUCUCGCGCAGCACAUUGCGCUUCUCGAGGUGCGCGGCCCGCGUCCACGAAGCAACAUUACCGUCUUUGACCUCGGAUCAGGUAGGGAUACCCGCUGAACUUAAGCAUAUCAAUAAGCGGAGGA
rnacentral:rRNA from 1 species